rnacentral:rRNA from 1 species
GUGUCAGCCGCCGCGGUAAUACGGAGGAUCCAAGCGUUAUCCGGAUUUAUUGGGUUUAAAGGGUGCGUAGGCGGACCCGUUAGUCAGUGGUGAAAGUUUGCAGCUCAACUGUAAAAUUGCCAUUGAAACUGCGGGUCUUGAGUGUAAAUGAGGUAGGCGGAAUGUGUUGUGUAGCGGUGAAAUGCUUAGAUAUAACACAGAACACCAAUUGCGAAGGCAGCUUACUGGGAUACAACUGACACUGAUGCACGAAAGCGUGGGUAUCAAACAGGAUUAGAUACCCUGGUAGUCCACGCAGUAAACGAUGAAUACUAGCUGUAUGCGAUACACCGUAUGUGGCACAGCGAAAGCGUUAAGUAUUCCACCUGGGGAGUACGUUCGCAAGAAUGAAACUCAAAGAAAUUGACGG